GCUUUUAUUGCUAGGGCUGUGUUAAUUUAGCUGUCUUUAUAUCUCUUUUGUGCUCGAUGAUUCUGUCUUUUAAGUUUCUACAAGUCGCCUCUACAUAGAUUUCGUGCUCCCCUGUAUCUAAGUUGGUUACUGGGAUCUGGUAAACACUGGUUCUAUUUUCUUCAUUUCUAUAGUCUUUAUGGUUUCUCAGUACGUCGAAAAUUGUAGGCGGCCUCUUGUACAUCAGUUUCUUGUUUUGCUUGUUUAGGACUGUUUUUAUCACUUUUGAUCUCCCUAAUGCCUCUGGAACUGGUUCAUAUGUCUUUGCUUGUUGCAUGUUGUUGCCUGCUGUUACCUAUUGCACUAUUGUUUGGGUUUCUUCUUGUUGGGGUGGUUUUUUUAGCUUUUUUAUCCAUUACUUCUGUCCAUAGUUUCUUAACGAGAGACGGUCUAAAUCCAUGGUUAACUGCUAUUCUCUGGAUUAUUUCUAGCUCUUCUUGUUUAGCCUCG
rnacentral:lncRNA from 1 species